rfam:Arabidopsis thaliana chromosome 1, complete sequence.
UCAUUUCAGAUGGCUGUUUGGGUAACUAAUAUUUAAGAUUUUGGUCAAUUUAAGUUACCAAUUUAUAUAUUGGUUACCCAUAUGGCCAUCUCAAAUUU